UAAGUUAACUCAUAUAGGUUCCCAGUAAUUGAACAAAAGAUAUUUGAAGUCAUUCGGGACCCUGUACGUGUUGUUUAUAUGAGCGACUGAUUAUUAUCUGUUAUAAUUAGUAUAGUCGAUUCGAUACAUGUCAUUAAAUAGUUUUAGCUGUUUGAAUGGUAACAACUUGAUUUGUCUCGUUGAACAUUGCUUGAAUCAAAAUUGAAGAUCGACUAUAGCUAUUUACAAUUGAUGUAUUUGAAUCAGAAAUAUAAAGAGAUUGAUUUUGUUUAGUUGCAGUUAGAAUUGGAGGGCAUGUACACUUGUGCACAACAUGUGCAUAAAGCCCUUUCGGAUUAAAAUAGUCUGACAGCACAUGCUGUCAGAUUAUAUUCUUGCUGCCCAUGGCCUGUUUUAGUUUAAUAAAUGUUAAAAGGGGACUGUCAGGGAUGUCAUGGGAGUCUGUUUAUUUAAAAUAGCUGAGUGGAAAAAAAACAGCAGGGAGGGGGAAUUUUGAGUUGUCACACAGGCUGUAAAGUGCUGAAUUCAGGCUAUAAAAGAGGCAGACCUUCCAUUGAGAAGGGGGGGGGGGGGAUUUUUUUUUGAGAGAUUUUUGGAGCCUGUGGAAAGGAUGUUCUUAAAGGCUGGACAUUUUUAGUCUUCAGGAAAAAACAAGAAACAUAAAGUCUCAGAAUAUCGUAACCAAACACUGUCUGAAAAUUACAUAAGAGUUCAUGUUGGUCUAGUUUUUUUGGCCGAUUGAUGUUGGUUGCCUGUUGAGCUGCUUGUGAUUGUUGAAUUGCUGGUGUGGUUGCAUUGAAUACUCUGUUGUUUCUGUUGGUUCAUUACUCUGUUUCUGGGAUUGUUUGUUUGUGGCUCGACUGCUCGUGAGCUUCAUCAUUAUUGGCUGGUUGUUGUUGCUGUGUUGUUGCUAUGUAUCUGCUAUUGCUGUAUUUGUUGCAUACUACUCAGCUAAUCAUACCUUUCUUCUUUUGCUUGGCUAUACCAGGUACACG
rnacentral:lncRNA from 1 species